UAAGGAAUAUUGGUCAAUGGAGGGAACUCUGAACCAGCCAUGCCGCGUGAAGGAUGACGGCCCUCUGGGUUGUAAACUUCUUUUGGAUGGGGCGAAAAAACGGGNAUUUAUCCUGGACUGACGGUACCAUCAGAAUAAGCACCGGCUAACUCCGUGCCAGCAGCCGCGGUAAUACGAAGGGUGCAAGCGUUAUCCGGAAUCACUGGGUUUAAAGGGUGCGUAGGCGGUUGUAUAAGUCAGGGGUGAAAGCACGCAGCUUAACUGUGUAAUUGCCUUUGAUACUGUACGGCUUGAAUAGGGUUGAGGUUGGCGGAAUGUGACAUGUAGCGGUGAAAUGGCAUAGAUAUGUCAUGAACACCGAUUGCAAGGCAGCUGACUGGGCCUAGAUUGACGNCUGAGGC
rnacentral:rRNA from 1 species